UCCCUGGUAGCCUAGUGGCUAAGGAUCCAGCAUUGUCACUGCUGUGUUACACGUUCGAGUCCUGGCCUGGGAA
rnacentral:tRNA from 1 species